AGAGUUUGAUCCUGGCUCAGGAUGAACGCUAGCGGCAGGCCUAACACAUGCAAGUCGAGGGGCAUCACGAGGUAGCAAUACUUUGGUGGCGACCGGCGCACGGGUGCGUAACGCGUAUGCAACCUACCUUUAACAGGGGGAUAACACUGAGAAAUUGGUACUAAUACCCCAUAAUAUCAUAGAAGGCAUCUUUUAUGGUUGAAAAUUCCGAUGGUUAGAGAUGGGCAUGCGUUGUAUUAGCUAGUUGGUGGGGUAACGGCUCACCAAGGCGACGAUACAUAGGGGGACUGAGAGGUUAACCCCCCACACUGGUACUGAGACACGGACCAGACUCCUACGGGAGGCAGCAGUGAGGAAUAUUGGUCAAUGGACGCAAGUCUGAACCAGCCAUGCCGCGUGCAGGAUGACGGCUCUAUGAGUUGUAAACUGCUUUUGUACGAGGGUAAACUCACCUACGCGUAGGUGACUGAAAGUAUCGUACGAAUAAGGAUCGGCUAACUCCGUGCCAGCAGCCGCGGUAAUACGGAGGAUUCAAGCGUUAUCCGGAUUUAUUGGGUUUAAAGGGUGCGUAGGCGGUUUGAUAAGUUAGAGGUGAAAUUUCGGGGCUCAACCCUGAACGUGCCUCUAAUACUGUUGAGCUAGAGAGUAGUUGCGGUAGGCGGAAUGUAUGGUGUAGCGGUGAAAUGCUUAGAGAUCAUACAGAACACCGAUUGCGAAGGCAGCUUACCAAACUAUAUCUGACGUUGAGGCACGAAAGCGUGGGGAGCAAACAGGAUUAGAUACCCUGGUAGUCCACGCAGUAAACGAUGAUAACUCGUUGUCGGCGAUACACAGUCGGUGACUAAGCGAAAGCGAUAAGUUAUCCACCUGGGGAGUACGUUCGCAAGAAUGAAACUCAAAGGAAUUGACGGGGGCCCGCACAAGCGGAGGAACAUGUG
rnacentral:rRNA from 1 species